CCGGCGCACGGGUGAGUAACGCGUAUGCAACUUACCUAUCAGAGGGGGAUAACCCGGCGAAAGUCGGACUAAUACCGCAUGAAGCAGGGGCCCCGCAUGGGGAUAUUUGCUAAAGAUUCAUCGCUGAUAGAUAGGCAUGCGUUCCAUUAGGCAGUUGGCGGGGUAACGGCCCACCAAACCGACGAUGGAUAGGGGUUCUGAGAGGAAGGUCCCCCACAUUGGUACUGAGACACGGACCAAACUCCUACGGAAGGCAGCAG
rnacentral:rRNA from 1 species